UAGAGGGAGUGAAUAUGAGCGGGCUGAGGCUGGCUCUGGUGGUGGAAGAAGGCGGUCGCCGGAGCGACGAGUCCGUCGGUGAAGGUUUGGUGGUAGUGGUCGAAUAUCUGGCGGGUCUGGUCCGAAUCCUGAGGGGGCUCGUCUCCGGAGAGCAUGAUCGGAGAUGGGUUCCCCCAUUCGUAGUCCAGCAUUUCCCACUGAAGCUCAGGUUUGACGACGUUGUUCCAAAGGCCCUCAACUCGAUCUGAAGCACAACCAAGAGAGAGUAGAGAGUAGAGAGCUGAGAGCUGAGAGUUGGAGAAAACCUAAGACAAUAAUGCAAAACGGUUUGGCCUUUAUAUAUAUAUAUACAUACACACAUAUAUCUCUAUCUCGGUGUUAAAAGGCUCUCCUUUUUCCACAGUGACGGAAGAGAAACUCACCUAUGGCAGCAUGAAACCGAGUGAAAAGACAAAGACUAACGAGGAGUACUUGUUGACCGCCGAGUAAUUCAAAAACCUAAUCUCCAAAACGCAGCGUUCCACUGUAGCUUCAACUGUCUCUGCAAUGGCGUGUACAGUCAC
rnacentral:lncRNA from 1 species